GCAAGGCUCUCAUUCAAAAAGGAAGGAGAGAUAAAGAGCUUCCAAGACAGGCCGCAACUAAAAAGAAUAUGUGACCUCCAAACCCGCUCUGCAAGAAAUUUUAAGGGGGCCUCUUAAAAUUCCCCUUUAGAAAGAAGUUCAGUGGAAACUCCACAAAAAACAAGACUGAAUAGUAUCAUGAUGACACUAAAACUCAUAUCUCUCAUAGUAACUCUGAAUGUGAACGGGCUUAAUGACCCCAUCAAAAGGCGCAGGGUUUCCGACUGGAUAAAAAAGCAGGACCCAUCUAUUUGCUGUCUACAAGACUCAUUUUAGACAGAAGGACACCUACAGCCUGAAAAUAAAGGUUGGAGAACCAUUUACCAUUCGAAAGGUCUCAAAAGAAAGCAGAGGUAGCAUCCUUAUAUCAGAUAAACUAAAAUUUACCCCAAAGACUGUAGUGAGAGAUGAAGAGGGACACUAUAAUCAUACUUAAAGGAUCUAUUCAACAAGAGGACUUAACAAUCCUCAAUAUAUAUGCUCCGAAUGUGGGAGCUGCCAAAUAUAUAAAUCAAUUAUUAACCAAAGUGAAGGAAUACUUAGAUAAUUAUACAUUCUUAACUUGGUGACUUCAAUCUAGCUCUUUCUAUACUCGAUAGGUCUUCUAAGCAAAACAUCUCCAAAAAAACGAGAGCUUUAAAUAUACACUGGACCAGAUGGAUUUCACAGAUAUCUACAGAACUUUACAUCCAAACUCAACCGAAUACACAUUCUUCUCAAGCGCACAUGAACUUUCUCCAGAAUAGACCACAUAUUGGGUCACAAUCGGGUCUGAACCGAUACCAAAAGAUUGGGAUUGUCCCCUGCAUAUUCCGGACCAUAAUGCCUUGAAAUUAGAACUAAAUCACAAACAAGAGUUUGGAAGGACCUCAAACACAUAGAGGUUAAGGACCAUCCUGCUAAAAGAUAAAAGGGUCAACCAGGAAAUUAAGGAAGAAUUAAAAAAGUUCAUGGAAACUAUAUGAGAUGAAGAUACAAACCGUUUCAAAAUCUUUGGGAUGCAGCAAAAGCAGUCCUAAGGGGAAUACAUCGCAAUACAAGCAUCCAUUCAAAAACUGGAAAGAACUCAAAUACAAAAGCUAACCUUACACAUAAAGGAGCUAGAGAAAAAACAGCAAAUAGAUCCUCACACCCAAGAGAAGAAUGAGUAUAUAAAGAUUCGGGCAGAACUCAAUGAAAUCGAGACCAAGAAGAACUGUGGAACAGAUCAACAGAACCAGGGUUUGUUCUUUGAAAGAAUUAAUAAGAUAGAUAAACCAUUAGCCAGCCUUAUUAAAAAAGAAGAGAGAGAAAGACCUCAAAUUAAUAAUCAUGAAUGAGAAAGGAGAGAUCACUACCAACACAAGGAAAUACAAAACGAUUUUAAAAACAUAUUAUGAACAGCUAUACGCCAAUAAUUAGGCAAUCUAGAAGAAAAAUGGACGCCUCCUGGGAAAGCCACAAAACUACCAAAACUGGAACAGGAAAGAAUAGAAAACCUGAACAGGCCAAUAACCAGGGAGGAAAUUGAAGCAGUCAUCAAAAACCUCCCAAGACACAAGAGUCCAGGGCCAGAUGGCUUCCCAGGAGAAUUUUAUCAAACGUUUAAAGAAGAAAUCUACCUAUUCUCCUAAAGCUGUUUGGAAAGAUAGAAAGAGAUGGAGUACUUCCAAAUUCGUUCUAUGAAGCCAGCAUCACCUUAAUUCCAAAGCCAGACAAAGACCCCGCCACAAAAGGAGAAUUACAGACCAAUAUCCCUGAUGAACAGGAUGCAAAAAUUCUCACAAGAUACUGGCCAAUAGGAUCCAACAGUACAUUAAGAAAAUUAUUCACCAUGAACAAGUGUAUUUCCCUGGGACACCAAGGCUGGUUCAACACCCAGUAAAAACAAUCAAUGUGAUUCAUCUAUCAGCAAGAGAGAAAAACCAGACCAAUAUGAUCCUCUCAUUGGUGCAGAGAGAAAGCAUUUGACAAAAUACAGCAUCAUUUCUGAAUUAAAACUCUUCAGAGUGUAGGGAUGAGGGAACAUUCCUCGACAUCUUAAAUGCCAUCUAUGAAAAGCCCACAGCAAAUAUCAUUCUCAAUGGGGAAGCACUGGGGCCUUUCCCCUAAGAUCAGGAACAAGACAGGGAUGUCCACUCUCACCACUGCUAUUCAACAUAGUACUGGAAGUCCUAGCCUCAGCAAUCAGACAACAAAAAAAACAUAAAGGCAUUCAAAUUGGCAAAGAAGAAGUCAAAACUCUCUCUCUUUGCCGAUGACAUGAUACUCUACAUAGAACAACCCAAAAGUCUCCACCCCAAGUUGCUAGAACCUCAUCAGCAAUUCGGUAGCGUGGCAGGAUACAAAAUCAAUGCCCAGAGUCAGUGGC
rnacentral:lncRNA from 1 species